rnacentral:rRNA from 1 species
AACGAACGCUGGCGGCAGGCUUAACACAUGCAAGUCGAGCGAGACCUUCGGGUCUAGCGGCGGACGGGUGAGUAACGCGUGGGAACGUGCCCUUCUCUACGGAAUAGCCCCGGGAAACUGGGAGUAAUACCGUAUACGCCCUUUGGGGGAAAGAUUUAUCGGAGAAGGAUCGGCCCGCGUUGGAUUAGGUAGUUGGUGGGGUAAUGGCCCACCAAGCCGACGAUCCAUAGCUGGUUUGAGAGGAUGAUCAGCCACACUGGGACUGAGACACGGCCCAGACCCCUACGGGAGGCAGCAGUGAGGAAUAUUGGACAAUGGGCGAAAGCCUGAUCCAGCCAUGCCGCGUGAGUGAUGAAGGCCUUCGGGUUGUAAAGCUCUUUCAGGUGCGACGAUAAUGACGGUAACACCAGAAGAAGCCCCGGCUAACUCCGUGCCAGCCGCCGCCGUAA